GCGGGGCUCCCCGCGGCCGGGCCGGGACACCGCGAUGUCGAAGUAGCGCAGGGAGUGGGAGCCUGCGGGGCGGGCGUUGAAUAUUUGAAUGUGACAUUGCAGAAACUGAUUCUUGGUGAGAAGAAUUAUCUCAGUACACAGGCCAGCCCAAGGAGAAAGGUGAAUAUCAUCUUGGUGAAGAUGAAAUGAGCUUGGCCUCAGCUUAGAUCCCAUCAGAGGAUCGCGUAUGACUUCAAGGAUUCCACAGACCACACUUCAAGAAUGACUGUUCGCUCAGUGGUUCCACCACCUGUCUCACAAGUGCCAGGUCCCGAAUUUGAUCCCCAGUACAAAAAAAAAAAAACAACAACAAAAAAACCCGAAAAAACAAUAAUGACUGUUCUGAGUCUCCUGCUUGGCCUUGGACUCUGCUUCCUCUUCACUCUCCAGAAUCCCUUUCUCUGCGCUGCACCGCCUUCCAGAACUUAGUGUCGAGCUCUGCCUCUGGACUCUUCUAGAAGACAAUUGAUGCCCUGAAAACCUGGUUUCUCAGUUCCCUCGUCAGAAGACUGGGGUGGGGAGGAGAGUUAUUUCCCAUUUGGAACAGGAAACAUUUUGGGUCUGAAGGCCCCAGACAUUCACUUCUGACCCGCUUGGAUUUGUUACACAGAACCUUAAUACAUAUUCGUAUCCCAGACAGUGGUGAGCUGUGCAGUUCACAGGAGAAAUAAUCCUGGCUGCUUCACUGCGGAUGGCGUCAGUGAACCGACUCGAGGCCACAAAACAGCAAGAGAUGUGCUGUCCGACAGAACUUUGUGCAGUGAAGAAAUUCUUCUGUAUCUGUGCUGUCUAAUCCGGAGCCCCAGAUGUGGGGCUGUUGGGCACUUGAGAUAUGACUGUGGCUGAGUAGCUGGCUUUGUAUUUAUUUACUUUCAUGGUAUUGGGGGCUGAAUCCAGGCCUUCAGCAUUCUGAGCACACGCAUCCCCAGUCCCUAGAACUUUAAAUUUUCUUUAAUGAAUUUAAAAAACCUUGUGUGGCUAGUGGCUGUCAUAUUUCACAGUGUAUACUCUUAGUUUCCAGUCUCCCAUAAAACAUACUUGUACUGUGGGAAUCUUAGAAUAAAGUGUAUUAAAAGUU